GACGAACGCUGGCGGCGUGCCUAAUACAUGCAAGUUGAGCGCUGAAGGUUGGUACUUGUACCGACUGGAUGAGCAGCGAACGGGUGAGUAACGCGUGGGGAAUCUGCCUUUGAGCGGGGGACAACAUUUGGAAACGAAUGCUAAUACCGCAUAAAAACUUUAAACACAAGUUUUAAGUUUGAAAGAUGCAAUUGCAUCACUCAAAGAUGAUCCCGCGUUGUAUUAGCUAGUUGGUGAGGUAAAGGCUCACCAAGGCGAUGAUACAUAGCCGACCUGAGAGGGUGAUCGGCCACAAUGGGACUUAGACCCGGCCCAAACUCCCUAGGGAGGCAGCAGUAGGGAAUCUUCGGCAAUGGACGAAAGUCUGACCGAGCAACGCCGCGUGAGUGAAGAAGGUUUUCGGAUCGUAAAACUCUGUUGGUAGAGAAGAACGUUGGUGAGAGUGGAAAGCUCAUCAAGUGACGGUAACUACCCAGAAAGGGACGGCUAACUACGUG
rnacentral:rRNA from 1 species